rnacentral:lncRNA from 1 species
AUGCUGAAAAGAGGUGAACUGUGGUCAGAAUUCAGCAGUCUGCUGAAAAAAGGUGAACAGUGUAGAGGAGAAGAUGCAAGAAAGUCAUAAGCGAACGGAUGUAUUGGUAAAACAGGAAGAGAUACAAGAGACUCCCCACAUUUUGUUUUUAUUGUUUUGUCCAGCUACUUGACUAUUUUGAACUCUUCUUAUUUUUAAUUACAUCUACUUCCUUGUUUUGUACUCUUCUUGUAGAAGAUCACCAAAGAAUCG